ACGGCUUUGGGCUGGAUCCCGGGCAGCGCGAAGGGGCUCACAGGCACCCUCCAGGCGCUGUGCCCGUGUUGGGGACCCGGCAGCCCCGCGGGCUCCUCAUCCUCCUGCUCGUCCUCCGGCUGCAGCCGCCGGCCGGGUGGGCUCACCUGCGCACCCGCCGAGCCUCAGGUGCCCGCCAGCAUCGCUCCUGGGGUAAAAGCCAGAAGAUAGCCAGCCUGAACAGAAGAGUAGAAUGAGGUGCGGAGUGCAGGUGAAGCACAGAAAGGUGUCUCAUUUCUGCAUGUACAUCCUGCAGUGCUGAGCUCCCCUCCAGGGACCUGCUGGUUCUGCCAUGUGUGGAACUCACCUGCCUCAUAUGUCUCUGCUGACCCCUGUUCUACUCCUCAGACCACUUCAUGACCACUUGCACACUUGUGUCAGCCACAAAGUGGAUAAUACACAGAAAGCCUUGCUGCACAUUGAUUUGCUGUAUGGCAGCAGCAUUACAGGAGUUGAUUUGUUUCAGCUUAUCAGUGAAGAAAUCCUAUAAAUCACUGGCUGAGGAUAAAAAAGAGCAUAAAGAAGAAAUAAUUGUAUAGGGUAAAAAAGUGUGCAGAGCAAACCCUUACUUUGCAAAAGUAUGGUAACACUUUGACCUAUAGUGAGCUGGUUAGGUGUAAAAGAACCUGGGGAAAACUGGCCUUACAUAUUUAUGACUUGAGAAAACACUGGCUCUCCCAGUGAAUAUAAAUGUGAAUGUAAGUCAGAACCUUAAGUUCCAUUAUGUUUAAUCCAUUUUCGCUUCAAGGCAGGGUCUUUUUUAAAUGUUGGCCACAACAGACAAUUCUAUCUAUAACUUCUUGCAGAUCUAAAGAAUAAAAAGCUUUCAGAAAAACAACUGAAAACCCCUAGCAAACUGAUAAAUGUCCAGUCCUAAAUUAAUGCCUAGCGCAGUAUUUUAGACUAAAGAAGGAAAAAGCACCCUAAUGUUUUCCAAACUUGUUCUCAGCCGUCAUCUAAAACUUUUGUAUAAGUUCUGUGCAUAGUUUGCCAGAUGGCAAGAGUUGAUUGUAAUUUAAUUGUGAAAUGUAAAAACUGUCUAGAAAAUUUUCCACUUCUUGCAAUAUUGUUCUCAUCCAGGUAGGGCCAGAUCCCUCAAACUCAGCUCUUCCCUCAGGAAGGAGAAAGAAAAUAGAGAAAUUUCUUCCUCUAUUGUACUGUACUCUUUAGUCAUCAAAGCAAUGCUGUAAUACAAAUUCAUAGUGAUUUUAGACCCUGUACCUCUUCAUGUUCCU